CGCGUAGGCGGCCCGGUAAGUCCGCUGUAAAAGUCAGGGGCUCAACCCUUGAACGCCGGUGGAUACUGCCGGGCUAGAGUCCGGAAGAGGCGAGUGGAAUUCCUGGUGUAGCGGUGGAAUGCGCAGAUAUCAGGAGGAACACCAAUAGCGAAGGCAGCUCGCUGGGACGGUACUGACGCUCAGGCGCGAAAGCGUGGGGAGCAAACAGGAUUAGAUACCCUGGUAGUCCACGCCGUAAACGAUGGGCACUAGGUGUGGGAGGUGUCGACUCCUCCCGUGCCGUCGCUAACGCACUAAGUGCCCCGCCUGGGGAGUACGGCCGCAAGGCUAAA
rnacentral:rRNA from 1 species